rnacentral:rRNA from 1 species
CAAUAGCGUAUAUUAAAGUUGUUGCAGUUAAAAAGCUCGUAGUUGGAUUUGUGGCGUACGGUGUGUUCCGGGCACUUGUUGUCUGAGUAACCUGCUGUUGCCAUCCUUGGGUGGAACCUGUGUGGCAUUAGGUUGUCGUGCAGGGGAUGCCCAUCAUUUACUGUGAAAAAAUUAGAGUGUUCAAAGCAGGCUUAUGCCGUUGAAUAUAUUAGCAUGGAAUAAUGAGAUAGGACUUUUUUGCUAUUUUGUCGGUUUGCGCAAGAAGGUAAUGAUUAAUAGGGACAGUUGGGGGUAUUCGUAUUCCAUUGUCAGAGGUGAAAUUCUUGGAUUUUUGGAAGACGAACUACUGCGAAAGCAUUUACCAAGGAUGUUUUCAUUAA